rnacentral:rRNA from 1 species
ACGGGCCUACGGGGCGCAGCAGUGAGGAAUAUUGGUCAAUGGGCGGGAGCCUGAACCAGCCAAGUCGCGUGAAGGAAGAAGGUACUUAGUAUUGUAAACUUCUUUUGUCGGGGAACAAAGGCGGAGACGCGUCUCCGGAUGAGUGUACCCGAAGAAAAAGCAUCGGCUAACUCCGUGCCAGCAGCCGCGGUAAUACGGAGGAUGCGAGCGUUAUCCGGAUUUAUUGGGUUUAAAGGGUGCGCAGGCGGGAGAUCCAGUCAGCGGUAAAAGGUCGGGGCUCACUCCCGGCCGG